UGCCUAUACAUGCAGUCGAGCGGACAGAUGGGAGCUUGCUCCCUGAUGUUAGCGGCGGACGGGUGAGUAACACGUGGGUAACCUGCCUGUAAGACUGGGAUAACUCCGGGAAACCGGGGCUAAUACCGGAUGCUUGUUUGAACCGCAUGGUUCAAACAUAAAAGGUGGCUUCGGCUACCACUUACAGAUGGACCCGCGGCGCAUUAGCUAGUUGGUGAGGUAAUGGCUCACCAAGGCAACGAUGCGUAGCCGACCUGAGAGGGUGAUCGGCCACACUGGGACUGAGACACGGCCCAGACUCCUACGGGAGGCAGCAGUAGGGAAUCUUCCGCAAUGGACGAAAGUCUGACGGAGCAACGCCGCGUGAGUGAUGAAGGUUUUCGGAUCGUAAAGCUCUGUUGUUAGGGAAGAACAAGUACCGUUCGAAUAGGGCGGUACCUUGACGGUACCUAACCAGAAAGCCACGGCUAACUACGUGCCAGCAGCCGCGGUAAUACGUAGGUGGCAAGCGUUGUCCGGAAUUAUUGGGCGUAAAGGGCUCGCAGGCGGUUUCUUAAGUCUGAUGUGAAAGCCCCCGGCUCAACCGGGGAGGGUCAUUGGAAACUGGGGAACUUGAGUGCAGAAGAGGAGAGUGGAAUUCCACGUGUAGCGGUGAAAUGCGUAGAGAUGUGGAGGAACACCAGUGGCGAAGGCGACUCUCUGGUCUGUAACUGACGCUGAGGAGCGAAAGCGUGGGGAGCGAACAGGAUUAGAUACCCUGGUAGUCCACGCCGUAAACGAUGAGUGCUAAGUGUUAGGGGGUUUCCGCCCCUUAGUGCUGCAGCUAACGCAUUAAGCACUCCGCCUGGGGAGUACGGUCGCAAGACUGAAACUCAAAGGAAUUGACGGGGGCCCGCACAAGCGGUGGAGCAUGUGGUUUAAUUCGAAGCAACGCGAAGAACCUUACCAGGUCUUGACAUCCUCUGACAAUCCUAGAGAUAGGACGUCCCCUUCGGGGGCAGAAUGACAGGUGGUGCAUGGUUGUCGUCAGCUCCUGUCCUGAGAAGUUGGGGUUAAGUCCCGCAACAAGCGCAACCCUUGAUCUUAUUUGCCACCAUUCAAUUGGGGCCUCUAAGGGGAAUGCCGGUGACAAACCCGAGGA
rnacentral:rRNA from 1 species